UAUUUGAAAAGCAGGGGGGAGGACGGGGCGGAAAAAAAGGAAAAAUACAGGAACCAUCAAGCAACUUCUUUAUUUUUGGCAUAAGUGUGAAAUCAAGAAAAGGACUGGCCAGGCAGUGCAGCAUUUCACUAACUUUAAUUGAUUCGACCAUUGUUAUUGUUGUCCGCAAUAUUUGCUGUUUGCACUAACGAUUGUGCUAUUAACAAACUUAUAUUAACUAACACUAAACAGUUAUGUUGUUGUUGUCGUAUCAGCAUAAACAUUCCCCAUACUUUCAUACGGGGAAUGCUGCUGGAGUGACAGUCCUUAGCCGGAUAUAAAUCCGGGUCGUUUCGGUAACGUAAAACCGACUGUCGUGGAAACGACUAAACAGUUAUCUUCUUCUUCGAAAAUAGGUCCUCAAAAACUGGCUCAACAACUUCUUUGACACUAGACCAGCCGAUUUUUGGCGGCACGGCAUCAACAAAUUGGUCGAGGGGUGGGAAAUGGUUGUAAACAGCAACGGCAAAUAUAUAAUUGAUUAACUUAUUGAUAUAAUUACUGUUUUUUGUUUAAAUAAAACUCUUCGGUAAAAACGCUACGAAUUCAUUCCCCAACCCAAUAUUUUACAGUUUUUGCUCACGUCAUAGGAAAUCUUACCUGCGCAACCUUACCUUUCACGAUGUAUGCUACGACUAGCAGACGACUGGCUGAUGGAUAUUCACCACAGCUCACCAAUGGGUCGUUGAUAACAUUAAAAAUUAAAUAGACAGCUUUCCCGGAAAAUGAUUUUGUCGUUUUUUUGUGGAAGAAAAACGGUUGAAAAUGUUUGGGCUCUAAUUAAGCAAAAACCAAAAGGAAAACAAAUAAAGACGGUUGGGCAAACAGUUAUCAAAGAACAAACUCAAACUGUAACCGAGCCCGUAAUAUUCGGCAGGAAUUGCUAGCGGGAGGCUAUGAAAACUGUCUAUAUGAUCGUCAAAUAUUAUACUUAUAAUGGUAAAUCUCACAUCUUUGAGAAUCUUAGCUCCUGACAGAGAAGCUGUUUGUUUUAGUUGGUACUUCUUGUGCGCUUAGUUUGUGUGUGGAAAGUCGGCGGCUAGAGGUCAGAUACUCAGAGUUGCAGUUUUUUCCAAUGCCCGAAAUUUGGGGGAAAUAUUUCUAAAAUCAUCCAGCACUUCAACCUAUCUAGUUUUUUCUUGUAUUCGUUUAUUCACAUAAUAGUUAUGUAUAUAUGUAUGUACGUGCACAGGCGUGCAUGCUUAGCAAGAAUUUAAUUUGCCAAUUGUUUAAGGAAGUUGACAAUAGUUCCCCGCCAAAUGGGCUUGGAGUAAUAACGGAAGUAUUUACUUACCAUUACUUCUGAAGGAACUUCUUUAUCACGAGACGAAAGUGAAGCAAUGGAGACGUCACAGAUAACCAUAGAAUAAAAAUUUAUAACUAUUCUAUAGUUGUAUUAUUAUAGAUCUACAAAAACCUAGUUAAGCUAUCUUAAAAAAGUAAGACGAAAUUACAACCAUCGAAGAUGAAAUGCCAGCCAUUCAGCAAAUUGAAGCGCUAUCACAGAAAUUGGGAAGUAAUGUGAAAGUGGGAAAAUAAGUGUCGAAAUGAAAUCGUCUAUAUAUUAUAUAAAACUCAAUGGAACGAGAAACAAACUGUCAAAUAUUGAAAGCGUUUUAAGUCCUUAGCUAAUCGAUAAUUUGCUAAAACAUUGAAUUUCGCUUCUGAUGUUACAACCUACAACUCGAGAAAAAUAGAUAUGUUUGCGACACUCAGCAAUGACACUUAUUUUAAUACAAGGUGCGAUAGCCACGCCUACCACCUACAUAACGUUAAUUUUCACAAAAAAAAAAUGAUAUCUCCGCUAUAAAUGAAGCAAAAUUAUUCAAAUUUGGUACUUAAAAAAAGGGCGGUGUCACUGCCAUUUUUCAGUAAAUGCAUGUAUUUAAUAAAACUCGUCCAAAUCGGUCCCACCUCAAUUAUAUCAGACUUAAAUAUUAUUGGAAUCGGAUAGAGGCUGCCCUUUUUAUAUUUAAAGUCAGCCUAAAGGUAUGUUCAUGUAAAAAUUAUCCAGUAACUUAAUUUUCGCGAAUUCGCUCUCAGAGAGAAAAAUAUCACAAAAAGUACAUGAACGCAAAACCAGUAACAAUUUGCAGGUAUUACGAACAGCUGAUUAAAUUGUUGGCGGGAAAAUAAAAAAAAAGUACAAUUUGUUUCAGUUGAGCUACCUCGUAUUAAAUUAAAAGAAGCAAAUAAAAUGCAAAAUAAUUUGACCCCCAGGAGCAUUUCGUAAGUGUGAAUCAGAGCAAGGCAUACAGCGAAUGGCUGGUGAAACUUCAUACAAGACGGUAGUUCCUUAUGAUCACACCAACGAAAGAGAUGAAGCUUCGCAAAAGGUUUUGCAUGUGGCUAGUGGCAGCAGCGAUCAGGACUUUGUCCCAAUAGGUGGUAGCUGUGAAAGCCGGGAAACCAAAAUUGUGUGGUUAGAAGCGCCAACAAAGUUCCCCAUCUCUAAAGUAAGAGACAUAAUCAACUCGAACUCGACGAAAUAUUCAAAGAAAGAAGAUCCAGUUACCCAGAAUCUGUCUUAGGCAGCGAAACUGUGAAUGAGAUCAACGAUUGAGAAGAUGGCAUAACCUCAACACCAGAAAACAUUUCAUCUAAAUCCACAAAUCCAAAAAAAAAAAAAAACGCCCUGGAGCAGUAUGUGGAUGAGAAAAAGAGGCCCGAUGGUCAAUUGUUUAAAAUGCUGGAAGAAAACAGAAGAAGAAAGAGCAGAAUGGAAAGCCCAGAUAGAAAGUCGAUUUCUUCAAAACAGGAAGGUAUGCCGUUAAUAGUGGAAAAUAACAUCAGGCAAAUAACCAUUAUGACCACGCUUACAGGACAAUAUCCUUUUCAUGGAAUUUUCCAUAUCGAAUCGCAAAGUGGCCUCGAUCCCCUCACGAAUUCCAUCUUUGAAGUCUUGAAUCUACCCUGGGCUGUUGGCGUAGACCGUCUCUUUCACGUGGCCUCAAAGAAAAAAGUCACAAGGUGUUAAAUCACAAGAUACCGGUAGCCAAUUGUGAUCGCCUCUUCGAGAGAUAACACGGUCCGGAAACAUUUCUCGUAAAAAAUCAAUGGUUUCGUUGCUUGUGCGGCACGUAGCGCCGCAUUGUUGAAAAUAAACGUUGUCUAGAUCAAUACCAUCCACU